rnacentral:lncRNA from 1 species
UAGCAUUCUUAGCUUCAUCAACUCGUCUAACAAUAUCAUCAGACAAAUGCAAAAUUAUAGAGCUGUAUGCAAUCUCAUUCAUUUUCUCAAAUUCAGCAGGUUUAGAUUUUAAUUCAACGGAAAAUGUUUCAGGAUCAUCAAGGGCUUUAGCAACCCUUUGUUGGACUAAAAUAGCCCUCAUUUUCUGCUUUCAUAUCGAGUAAUCC